rfam:Triticum aestivum genome assembly, contig: Triticum_aestivum_CS42_TGACv1_scaffold_486288_6AS
UAAAUACUCCCUCCGUCCGAAAAUACUUGUCAUCAAAAUGGACCUUUUUAUCCAUUUUCAUGACAAGUAUUUUCGGAUAGAGGGAGUACAUA